rnacentral:lncRNA from 1 species
CCAGCCCCGGUUCAAUAUAUUUGAGAGCCUUAGGGCAAAAAAAAUUUUUUUGGCCUAUUAUUAUAUACAAAGAGAAAAUUUACCUAAUUUUUAAAAAUUUUGCGGAGUUUUUAUAGUAAAAAUUGUUAUUUUAAAAAUUUUGGGCCUUUUUAUACAUUUUCUUAUAAAUAAUUAGGCCUCUUAAAAUAUAAUUCUCAUAUUAAUAAUAUUUUUAUAAAAUAUUUGGGCCUUUUUUAUAUGUAAAAUUUUUUAUAAAAAAAAAAGCCCCGGGCCGUCGCACCUCCGCC